rnacentral:tRNA from 1 species
UGGCUCAGUUGGUUGAGCAUCUGACUUCGGCUCAGGUCGUGAUCUCACAGUUUGUGAGUUCAAAUCCCAC